UGAGGAAUAUUGGUCAAUGGGCGGAAGCCUGAACCAGCCAUGCCGCGUGCAGGAAGACGGCCCUACGGGUUGUAAACUGCUUUUCCGGGGGAAGAAUAAGGCCCACGUGUGGGCCGAUGCCGGUACCCCGGGAAUAAGGAUCGGCUAACUCCGUGCCAGCAGCCGCGGUAAUACGGAGGAUCCGAGCGUUAUCCGGAUUUACUGGGUUUAAAGGGUGCGUAGGCGGGCGCUUAAGUCAGCGGUGAAAUGCGGGGGCUCAACCUUCGAACGGCCGUUGAUACUGGGCGCCUUGGAUUCGGUCGAGGCGGGCGGAAUGCGACAUGUAGCGGUGAAAUGCUUAGAUAUGUCGCAGAACGCCGAUUGCGAAGGCAGCUCGCCGGGCCGAUAUUGACGCCGAGGCACGAAAGCGUGGGGAUCGAACA
rnacentral:rRNA from 1 species